GAUGAACGCUGGCGGCGUGCCUAAUACAUGCAAGUCGAGCGAACGGACGAGAAGCUUGCUUCUCUGAUGUUAGCGGCGGACGGGUGAGUAACACGUGGAUAACCUACCUAUAAGACUGGGAUAACUUCGGGAAACCGUAGCUAAUACCGGAUAAUAUUUUGAACCGCAUGGUUCAAAAGUGAAAGACGGUCUUGCUGUCACUUAUAGAUGGAUCCGCGCUGCAUUAGCUAGUUGGUAAGGUAACGGCUUACCAAGGCAACGAUGCAUAGCCGACCUGAGAGGGUGAUCGGCCACACUGGAACUGAGACACGGUCCAGACUCCUACGGGAGGCAGCAGUAGGGAAUCUUCCGCAAUGGGCGAAAUCCUGACGGAGCAACGCCGCGUGAGUGAUGAAGGUCUUCGGAUCGUAAAACUCUGUUAUUAGGGAAGAACAUAUGUGUAAGUAACUGUGCACAUCUUGACGGUACCUAAUCAGAAAGCCACGGCUAACUACGUG
rnacentral:rRNA from 1 species